rnacentral:rRNA from 1 species
UUGAACGCUGGCGGCAUGCUUUACACAUGCAAGUCGAACGGUAACAGGUUAAGCUGACGAGUGGCGAACGGGUGAGUAAUGCAUCGGAACGUGCCCGAUCGUGGGGGAUAACGCAGCGAAAGCUGCGCUAAUACCGCAUACGAUCUGAGGAUGAAAGCGGGGGACCGUAAGGCCUCGCGCGAUCGGAGCGGCCGAUGUCAGAUUAGGUAGUUGGUGGGGUAAAGGCUCACCAAGCCGACGAUCUGUAGCUGGUCUGAGAGGACGACCAGCCACACUGGGACUGAGACACGGCCCAGACUCCUACGGGAGGCAGCAGUGGGGAAUUUUGGACAAUGGGCGCAAGCCUGAUCCAGCAAUGCCGCGUGCAGGAAGAAGGCCUUCGGGUUGUAAAGCUCUUUCAGCAGGAGCGAAACGGUCGUUUUUAAUACAGACGGCUAAUGACGGUACCUGCAGAAGAAGCACCGGCUAACUACGU